GCAAGCAUCCAUCACUUCAAACACAUGGAUUGUCACUUGUCAGUGGAACACCACGGACAAAAAAGCUGCAAGAUCUGCGGGCAACACUUAUCAACCAACUUCUGUAAGGUCUUACUGGUUUUGGAUAGAAAUAUUCGAUAGAGAACUCAGUAAUCAAACCUACCCACAUGUUAACAUGUGAGGGUGCAACUGAAUUGUUGUACAUGAAUCUGGAACAAGAGAGGAAGAACUGAGGAUUCUUUAACAAGCUGCUUCUAUUUAUGCACAAUGGUGUCGUAGCCAGGUAAGAUGUACAUAGGCCUUUUCUGGUUGCUCGUCUAUCGAUCAUCCUUAGUCAUUUUUUAUUAGCAUAUGAAAGCACAAGUACGAUUGUACUUUUCUUAUAAUGAAUAGAACAACCACACCAUCAGACUGACGUACAUUCAUACUGCUAUAUUGCAGUCCAUUUCGUAUAAAAAGAUAGGUUACAAAUUGAAUGUCAAAGAUUUGGCUGGUCAUUUUGAUCAGUCCUGAUACCAUUUUGCAUCAUUUCGGAUAAUAUGAUUUUUUUUGAAGUUUUAAGUGUGUACCAAACCAACUGAAUAUUAUAGAUGCCCUUGUUACUUUUACUUCAAACCAUUGACACCCUGAAGUUUGCAGGGUUCAAUAGACACAUGAUGUGUUAGCAUUUGCCUAUCUACCUGAAAGGUUUGCCAGGAGGUUACCAAUAUCAGUGUGUCGUGUGCUGCAGAAAUGGACUUUUCGAUACCAGCAAGUGUGUGGACUUACCAUGUAGUAUUUGCGACACUUGAAUUCACAAUAGCUUGACCAUCCAAUUGGUACAUAAGUUUAUCAUUGUUUUACACUUUUAGUUCUUGGUCAGCAUUGAUUUGUUCUCUCCAUCAAAAGAACUAAUUGCUCAAUUAUAAGAGAAGUGAAACAGAGCCAUGUUCAGAUUCAUUUAAUUGGUUUCCCUGUGUUUUAUUGAAGACUAAAAUAUGAUUUAUGGUAUACGGGUACAUAGCCUACUUUCUGCAAUUAGUACAGAACACUGCUAGUUGCUCUUAAUAAUAGUUAAAUUUGUCAGAACAUUAUAUCUUGUUUACACUGCUAGCUGAUUAUUGCUUAAUAGUAAUAGUUAAUUUGGCAUUACAGAACACUCCAAUUAGCACAUCCAUAGUACAGAACAGAGCAUAAUACAUCGCUAGUUGCUUUUAAAGUUGCUAUUUUUGAAUCCUGUUUCUAGGCCAAUAUAGUACAUUGUAUCUUUAUCAAGAUCUUGACUAACUAUCCAUAAAAAAAGAUCUUGACUAACUAUAUUUCAGUAU